rnacentral:rRNA from 1 species
GGUAGUCCACGCUGUAAACGAUGUCGAUUUGGAGGUUGUUCCCUUGAGGAGUGGCUUCCGGAGCUAACGCGUUAAAUCGACCGCCUGGGGAGUACGGCCGCAAGGUUAAAACUCAAAUGAAUUGACGGGGGCCCGCACAAGCGGUGGAGCAUGUGGUUUAAUUCGAUGCAACGCGAAGAACCUUACCUACUCUUGACAUCCAGAGAACUUAGCAGAGAUGCUUUGGUGCCUUCGGGAACUCUGAGACAGGUGCUGCAUGGCUGUCGUCAGCUCGUGUUGUGAAAUGUUGGGUUAAGUCCCGCAACGAGCGCAACCCUUAUCCUUUGUUGCCAGCGAUUCGGUCGGGAACUCAAAGGAGACUGCCGGUGAUAAACCGGAGGAAGGUGGGGAUGACGUCAAGUCAUCAUGGCCCUUACGAGUAGGGCUACACACGUGCUACAAUGGCGUAUACAAAGAGAAGCGACCUCGCGAGAGCAAGCGGACCUCAUAAAGUAAGUCGUAGUCCGGAUUGGACUCUGCAACUCGACUCCAUCAGUCGGCAUCGCUAGUAAUCGUCGAUCAGAAUGCCACGGUGACUACGUUUCCGCACCUUGUACCCGCCGCUCUUCACACCGCGGGAAUGGUUUGCUUUAUACUCACGCGCUAUGUAUAGAUCCACACAUAUGUGCAUGUAGAUUCAAUCCC